rnacentral:rRNA from 1 species
UAAGAUGAGAGUUUGAUCCUGGCUCAGGACGAACGCUGGCGGCAUGCCUAAUACAUGCAAGUCGAACGAGCUUCCGUUGAAUGACGUGCUUGCACUGAUUUCAACAAUGAAGCGAGUGGCGAACUGGUGAGUAACACGUGGGGAAUCUGCCCAGAAGCAGGGGAUAACACUUGGAAACAGGUGCUAAUACCGUAUAACAACAAAAUCCGCAUGGAUUUUGUUUGAAAGGUGGCUUCGGCUAUCACUUCUGGAUGAUCCCGCGGCGUAUUAGUUAGUUGGUGAGGUAAAGGCCCACCAAGACG